GUGCUCACUUCGGCAGCAUGUAUACUAAAAUUGGAAUGAUACAGAGAAGAUUAGCACAGCCCUUGCAUAAGAAUGACAUGUAAAUUUGUGAAGUAUUCCAUAUUUUU